UAGUUCUCAAAAGCUUGACAAAUUUUCAUUAAUCCUACAUGAAGCCAGUUUUUGUGCAUUUAUUGAUGAUAUGUGGACUAACAUCAAGAGAUUAGAAGUAUGAAUGGCUUCCUUGGCUUUGCUGCUGAGACGGUUUCAUGCAGAGCAGCUGGGCGAACUGUACUAAGCUAGAAGUAACCUUUGAAAUUUCUCCACUCGACAGAGCAUGAGCCCACUAAAAUGGAAUUCUCUUAAGGCAAGCUGAGAAUUAUUGCACCCCUAGGAUGCCAAAGGACGCUUUCCACAUCUGGAGAAAGAGUGUGAAGAAAGUAUGAAAGACAGCCACA